rnacentral:rRNA from 1 species
AGUGAACGCUGGCGGUAGGCCUAACACAUGCAAGUCGAACGGCAGCACAGUAAGAGCUUGCUCUUACGGGUGGCGAGUGGCGGACGAGUGAGGAAUACAUCGGAAUCUACUUUUUCGUGGGGGAUAACGUAGGGAAACUUACGCUAAUACCGCAUACGACCUACGGGUGAAAGCAGGGGAUCUUCGGACCUUGCGCGAUUGAAUGAGCCGAUGUCGGAUUAGCUAGUUGGCGGGGUAAAGGCCCACCAAGGCGACGAUCCGUAGCUGGUCUGAGAGGAUGAUCAGCCACACUGGAACUGAGACACGGUCCAGACUCCUACGGGAGGCAGCAGUGGGGAAUAUUGGACAAUGGGCGCAAGCCUGAUCCAGCCAUACCGCGUGGGUGAAGAAGUCCUUCGGGUUGUAAAGCCCUUUUGUUGGGAAAGAAAAGCAGCAGGUUAAUACCCCGCUGUUCUGACGGUACCCAAAGAAUAAGCACCGGCUAACUUCGUG